UACAGAGGUCUCAAGCGUUGUUCGGAUUCAUUGGGCGUAAAGAGCUCGUAGGCGGUUUGUCGCGUCGAAUGUGAAAACCCGGGGCUCAACCCCCGGGCCUGCAUUCGAUACGGGCAGACUAGAGUUCGGUAGGGGAGUGUGGAAUUCCCGGUGUAGCGGUGAAAUGCGCAGAGAUCGGGAGGAACACCCGUAGCGAAGGCGGCACUCUGGGCCGGUACUGACGCUGAGGAGCGAAAGCGUGGGGAGCAAACAGG
rnacentral:rRNA from 1 species